rnacentral:rRNA from 1 species
AGCAGCCGCGGUAAUUCCAGCUCCAAUAGCGUAUAUUAAAGUUGUUGCAGUUAAAAAGCUCGUAGUUGAAUUUCGGGAUUAGUACGCUGGUCGUGCCUUCGGUAUGUACUGGUGUUACUGAUUCCUACCUUCUGAAGAACCGUCAUGUCAUUAAUUUGGUGUGGCGGGGAAUCAGGACUGUUACUUUGAAAAAAAUUAGAGUGUUUAAAGCAGGCUCGCGCUUGAAUACAUUAGCAUGGAAUAAUGAAAUAGGACGUUCGAUCCUAUUUUGUUGGUUUCUAGGAUUGACGUAAUGAUUAAUAGGGAUAGUUGGGGGCAUUAGUAUUCAAUUGUCAGAGGUGAAAUUCUUGGAUUUAUUGAAGACUAACUACUGCGAAAGCAUUUGCCAAGGAUGUUUUCAUUAAUCAAGAACGAAAGUUAGGGGAUCGAAGACGAUCAGAUACCGUCGUAGUCUUAACCAUAAACUAUGCCGACUAGGGAGUCGGAUGAUGUUAUUUUUAAUUGACUCAUUCGGCGCCUU